GAUGAACGCUAGCGGCAGGCUUAACACAUGCAAGUCGAGGGGUAACAGAAGGAAGCUUGCUUUCUUGCUGACGACCGGCGCACGGGUGCGUAACGCGUAUAGAACCUACCUUUUACAGGGGAAUAGCCCAGAGAAAUUUGGAUUAAUGCCCCAUAGUAUUGUUGAAUGGCAUCAUUUAAUAAUUAAACAUUUAUGGGUAAAAGAUGGCUAUGCGCUCUAUUAGCUAGAUGGUAAGGUAACGGCUUACCAUGGCGACGAUAGAUAGGGGUCCUGAGAGGGAGAUCCCCACACUGGUACUGAGACACGGACCAGACUCCUACGGGAGGCAGCAGUGAGGAAUAUUGGGCAAUGGAGGCAACUCUGACCCAGCCAUGCCGCGUGCAGGAAGACGGCCCUAUGGGUUGUAAACUGCUUUUAUAUAGGAAGAAACCUUUCCACGUGUGGAAAGCUGACGGUACUAUAAGAAUAAGCACCGGCUAACUCCGUG
rnacentral:rRNA from 1 species